rnacentral:rRNA from 1 species
UACGAAGGGGGCUAGCGUUGCUCGGAUUUACUGGGCGUAAAGGGCGCGUAGGCGGCCAGUUAAGUUGGGGGUGAAAGCCCGGGGCUCAACCUCGGAAUUGCCUUCAAUACUGGCUGUCUUGAGUGUGAGAGAGGUGUGUGGAACUCCGAGUGUAGAGGUGAAAUUCGUAGAUAUUCGGAAGAACACCAGUGGCGAAGGCGGCUUCCUGGCCUGUUCUUGACGCUGAGGCGCGAAAGCUAGGGGAGCAAACGGG